GUGCUUGCUUCAGCAGUAUAUAUACUAAAAUUGGAAUGAUACAGCAAAGGUUAGCAUGACCCCUGUGCAAGGAUGACACGCAAAUCUGUGAAGUGUUCUUAAAAAAA